rnacentral:rRNA from 1 species
UACAGAGGUCUCAAGCGUUGUUCGGAUUCAUUGGGCGUAAAGGGUGCGUAGGCGGCGCGGUAAGUCAGGGGUGAAAUCCUGGAGCUCAACUCCAGAACUGCCUUGAUACUGAGGAGCUUGAGUCCGGGAGAGGUGAGUGGAACUGCGAGUGUAGAGGUGAAAUUCGUAGAUAUUCGCAAGAACACCAGUGGCGAAGGCGGCUCACUGGCCCGGUACUGACGCUGAGGUGCGAAAGCGUGGGGAGCAACA